rnacentral:lncRNA from 1 species
AGGAGAGGUAUAUCGUCCCUUUAGGCAAAUCGGUUAUAUUUAAUGGUUCAAGAACAAUGAAAGGCAGAUAAUCUUUACCUAGAGGAAUAAAGCCCUGAUAGGGAAGAGUGAGUAUGGCGUUUCUUACAGGACUACUGGAAUUAAGUUUGGAAGGAAAAUAAAGAGAGGUGAGAAGCCAUUUAGAUUUUACAGAAAUGUAGCUCCUCAUACAUUAUAUUGUUCCUAUGAAGAAUUAGAUUGAAUAAAGCUGCUUUGAAUAAAGCUCGUAUUACCAGGUACCACAUGUGAUGGAAAGAAUCCAAGUUAAACACUCUCACCAGAGCAUGCUCCAAGACAGAUGACUGAGCCCCAGGCUUGGCCAAUACAAUGCACUUCUAUUCUCUAUUUAUUUUUGUAGUUCAAAGACCUGGCAGUAACCCACUUGAUGCCUGCCAUAAGGACCAGUACACUCCUGAUUACUGCCCAGCGAU